UCAAUGGUAGCUCAGGCGGGGCAGCCUCCGGGCUGGCCGGUAUCCGUUAGAGCCGGUAUUUCCACCCCCGUCUGGGCUAUCGCCA
rnacentral:antisense_RNA from 1 species